UUUACGUUGUGGAUGUCUAUGGGUUACA
rnacentral:sRNA from 1 species